CUCCUUCAGUUUUUUUCCUCCAAGUUCAUAUCGACACUGCUUCAUCUUCUCACAGUCCACCAUCACCAUCUCCACCAGCAUCAAUCUCCACCACCAUCACCAUCCACAAUUAGUAUUGAUUGAGGAACAGAGUGAACUAUUGUUCAAUUUCAGUGUGUUCCGUCGAUUAUUCCCUCCUUUCUCCGUUCUCGAUCUUUCUCCUCUCCAUCGAACUCUUCUUCCUUCGAGAAUUUAUCAUCUUCAUCAAGUAACAGUACUGAUUCCAGGAAAACCAACACAAAAUUUAAACCUAAAUUUCGUUAUUACGAUCCCAGUCAAACUUAACCCUAAAUUUCUGCUGAAGUUUUGGAAAAUUGGGAAUUUUUUGGACGAAGAACUUGAGAAGUGAAUGAAGGGAGUUUUCGCAACGAAGCAGUGAAUGAAAAUUUGAAAGAGAAAUUGAUAGAUCUGAUAUGAGUUAUGAUUCUUCUAGAGCAUGUGGUGUAAGGAUAUGGAAGAAAAAACAACUUAAAGUCAAUAGUCAAAAGCCAUUCAACCUUAGAACUGAGCAAAGAGGGAAACAUAAAGAAGAGGUAUUCGUAAAGAAAGUACAAGAAAUGUUUACAGAAGAGGACAAGCAACGUAUACCCGUUGCGCAAGGCCUUCCAUGUACAACGAAAGAACCAUAGCAAAAUAGACCUCUAAAUGCUCAAAACGUUGCUGAUGCUUUGCAAAAGACUACAACAGGAUUUAGAAGAAAAAAUUAGAGCAACCGGCGAGGUUGAAGGAGGAGGAACUUGGAAUUGAAUACGACGAAGAUGUUGGUGUAAGCUUGCAGUCGUGAGUGAGUUAAUGCCUCAAAAUAAGAAGCGAGGAAGAGGUCAGUAAAACUUGGAAUUGAAAUGAUGAAGAUGUUGGUGUAAGCUUCCAGUUGUUAGGUGAGUUAAUGACUUGAUCAAAGUAAGUAGGAUGUCAGUAACUUUUGUUCAAUGCUGCAUUACGGAUAUAACUAAUCUGUUGCGCAGUUAACAAGGGUUUGUUAGCUUUGUCUUGUUGUAAAUAUUUAAUGGCGUCAAGUGGUUUUGAUUUUCAUCCUCUUGAAAAUCAAGUUUCAGUUGGAUCAAGUUUUUCUUUCAAAUUAUGAGUGAUCAUCAUCAUCAUACAACAGAACUUUAAAUAUCUCAGAACUGCUUAGAUUUACGACACAAACUUAAAUCUAUCAUGUUGGAAAACAUAAUAGAUACAUAAAUAUUUAUAUGAUAGUAUUUUAUCGAUUUGUACAUGGAGUGGAUGUUGAACACCCAUUUGUAAAGAAAAGGAAGUGAAUAAUUUGCUGGUGUA